rnacentral:tRNA from 1 species
AGUUAACCACUUUUAGAAAGUAUUAUAUUUUGAAAAUAUAACUUAAGGAGUUAAACUCUCCUAUUAACUU